UUGCCAGUCAGGCUUCUGGCUGGAAUUUGGCUCCCAACUGGUUCCAGGCUCUAGCCAGGACCUGACUACAAG
rfam:Neotoma lepida isolate 417 scaffold_12907, whole genome shotgun sequence.